AAAUCUUCAACAAAACCCUAGCACAACCCUAGCAUUUUGAUCUGCAUUUUUACCGGAUUGUCUUUGUUUGGGCUCCAAACUGCAAGCAUUUUAAAAAAAGCAAAAUGAUAAUCUUACCCUUCUAGAAACACUCAAGCUUCCCAAUUAUUAUUUUGGUUCUGAUGGUUGUGUUCUUUGGGUUUUCAGGUUGCGAAUCUGAUGCGAUUAGAAGGGAUUAUGUUUGGAUUGAGCAUGUUGAUGAUGGUUGGGGUCCUGCAGUGUAUUCACAGAGGAAAUCUUCAACCAAUCAAAGUAUGUAUAGUUACAAUCAUAUCUUUGCAGUUUUGAUUACUGAUUAUUUU
rnacentral:lncRNA from 1 species